GCCAAGCAUGAGGAACGCAAGGAUCAAUUCUCACACGUCUCGCGGGAAUUUCGUCGUCGCGUUACCAUUCCCCAAGGAGUGAAUCCCGAGACAGUGACGUCCACCAUGUCGCCCGAAGGAAUUUUGACCAUCAUGGCUCCAAAAAUGAUGCUUGAAGGCUCAAAAGAACGAGUCAUCCCAAUUACGAUGACUCGGACUGCUGGAUUGACCAAUUCUCCGACUCCAAUCCAAGGAAAUUAGGACGUGGUGACUUUUGUGAUGGUAAAAGAAAAAAAAAAGGAUCGUUUCUAUUUUCAUUUUUCCUUUCCUCCUUGAAAUUUGCAGUGAUAGGUGUGAGUGUUUGUGUUGGUUGGUGUCGAUCAUGUUGAUGGGCUUAAAAUUCACAUUUCAAUAAGUAAUAAAAUUAUUAAUAUUCCAUUGUGAAUGGCGGAAAUACUGUAUGUACAAACUUUAUUCACCGAAUGGUUAACAAGCAA